rnacentral:lncRNA from 1 species
UCACAUACAAACCAAUAGCAGACCAUCCACAUUCAUAUAAAUACAAUAGCAUUUCACAAAAAACUGAUACAACAAACCAUUCAUCACAAUCCAAACAUCAAGGCAAUGCAUACAAGUUGAUACAGCAAGGCACACUUCAACAUAUAACCGCUUUCACUUGCAUCUAACAACUAACAACUCAGAUUCACUAACAUCUAACUAAAAUAGAAUCUCAAACUAACAAUCAUCCUCUAACAGGUUCAAACAUUCAACUUAACAAAUUAAUAACAGAUUGCUCACUUUUAACAAACUUACACUUGGAGGAUUAGCUGAGUUGAUAGUGCCCAUUUGUUGCCCGAGCUACCCGAAUCGGUUACAUACUCUCACCAUAUAAAUCAUCACCAAUCAUUGGUUCAGAGAGAUCACAGUCACUUUACAUUUAAUUUUCACAGUUCAGAGUUCAGUUCUUCUUCCAUCACCUCACACUCCACAGUACACACUCUCGAGUUCUCCCUCUCUCUGAUAUAUUCACAACAACAUAACCAGAUUGCAGAAAAAGAACAGAAGAUUGCAGAAGAAGAAUCAGAAGAGGUAGAAGAGAAGAACCAGGAAAAAUAAGAAAGAGGGAGAACGGAGAUUUCGAAUUUGAAAUGACGCGCGUGGAAAAUGUGGUCGUCUUUUGAACAUGUGAGAAAGACCCAACUGACUCAGUAGCCUUGCAUUGGGCUCACUCCAUUUUGGGCCCAAAGUUGUUGUUUCCGGCACCUCUUCUUCAGGUCCAUCACCCCACACGAGCCAACAAACUAACUAUGGGCCUAGUUGCUUGGGCCUGCAUGUUUUCU